rnacentral:rRNA from 1 species
UCCUCCCUCUUUCUUCGUGCCUAAUACAUGCAAGUCGAGCGGACUUUCAAGAAGCUUGCUUUUUGAAAGUUAGCGGCGGACGGGUGAGUAACACGUGGGCAACCUGCCUGCAAGACGGGGAUAACUCCGGGAAACCGGGGCUAAUACCGGAUAAUAUCUUCCUUCGCAUGAAGGAAGGUUGAAAGGCGGCGCAAGCUGCCGCUUGCAGAUGGGCCCGCGGCGCAUUAGCUAGUUGGUGAGGUAACGGCUCACCAAGGCGACGAUGCGUAGCCGACCUGAGAGGGUGAUCGGCCACACUGGGACUGAGACACGGCCCAGACUCCUACGGGAGGCAGCAGUAGGGAAUCUUCCGCAAUGGACGAAAGUCUGACGGAGCAACGCCGCGUGAGCGAAGAAGGUCUUCGGAUCGUAAAGCUCGGUUGUCAGGGAAGAACAAGUACCGUUCGAACAGGGCGGUACCUUGACGGUACCUGACCAGAAAGCCACGGCUAACUACGUG